ACAGUACUUAGUUCUUUGAAGAGUCUAAAUUUACAAGGUAGAAGGGUUUCAAAAAUACGUAUUUGACUUGCGUUACACCAACUUCCAAGUUGCAAGGUUUAUCUAUUAACAGAAGAAAGCUAAAUUGUAACUCCUGUUCUUAGUGGUUAACACCUGAAAUUAAGUUAGAGCAAGUUCUAAAAGCUGUGCUUUUUUUAAUCAGCUUGCAGAAUGUGACCACAGUUACAAACCACAAAACUAAAACCCGUUCAGAAGAAAGUGAAAUAGUCAGCGUUCAAGAACAAGAGGGGAUUAUUUCUUCAUUUGAACUAGCAGCACAGUCUUCAAAAGGAAGUCAGACAACAGCAGUGAAAAGUUUGCCUUCUUCACCAGAAUCGUCAUUGUCACCAGCUCCAUCUACACAACCACAGCUCACAGAAGGAUCACAUUUCAUGUGUGUAUAGUUACAGAGAACACUAAUGGCUUCUGUUGAAACAAUUCAUGCCUGAGAUGUAUGGACCUGACCUAUGGAAAUAUGAGAAGAUAUUGUACAGUAUAUUUUAAAUCUAUGAAAUUCAUAGUUCUGAUGCUUUUGGCCACAGAGCAUCAUUUUAUCACUUCCUGGAAAAUGUUUAUUCCAAGAGAGCUUUAAAUGGCCCAUAUGUACACUCAGCAACGUUCAGAUUGUUCUCCUGAUAGCAGCUUGCUGCUAUGAUUUCUGUGCACAUAAAAUAAAGGUUCUUUUUAAUGUGCA
ensembl:lncRNA